rnacentral:tRNA from 1 species
GGGUGUAGCUCGGUGGUAGAGCAUGUGCUUAGCAUGCAUGAGGCCCUGGGUUCAAUCUCUAGCCCCA